AAACCAAAUACUACUGCGCUGGGAAGAAGGAAGUAAAACGUCAGAGAGAGUGUAAGUGUAAUUACAGGCUUAAGAAAUGUAACGAUCGCUUUCUGUAAGUUCAGUAUUUUGUUCUCCUUCUGCUUCAACUUUUCGCUAUGAAAUGUUCUUGGCAGACAGCACUGUCUCCUGAAAGGAGACAGACAAAGUCUCUCGAGCCAUGGUGAAAAUGGGCAGCCUGACUGGCCCUGCGAGAUUGGAAAGGGAAAUAUGAAUGCCGAAAUCAUGGCCAGAACUUUAGAUAGCAAAUCUGAGACUUAAUUCUACAUCCUUAAAUGGAGCCUUUCAGCAUCAUUCUUCCGACUGAGACUGUUAUGAGAAACAAUCGUGCAGUCAAGCCGGCAUUUACCAGGCAUGAAGAAGUGCCUCUCUUCUCUGACAUGACAGCAGAAGAGCUGCCACUUACCAUGAGUGCACUUUCGCUCCUUAGAGGGAAGUAAGGCGAAUUCAAGUGAGGGGAGAUCCUUCUUAAAGCUUCGCUUCUAAAUCAGAUGACUCGGUAUCCAUCGUCUUCACAGCUGUUGCUUUUGUUCCUAUAAAUAGGUCUUAAUAAAAAUAGUAAAUAAAAUCCUUAAUGUUCAAAUUUUUUCUUCAUUUUAUUGCUCUCUUUCUUGUUUAUUAAAUUUUUAAAAAAUUACUAUGAAAUUACUGUGAAUCUCUGACAAAUACCCUAAAGUUGGAAUUAUUUCAUUAUUAUUAUAGCUUUUUUCCCACUAGGUUUGAUUCCUGUGUAGCUAUAUGAAAGAGAUACUGCAUAAGCAGACAUUGUUGGAUCAGGAUAAUUACAAAUAUGUUAUAUAUAGUAUCUUGAAUUUCAUCUUGGUGAUAAUAGUAAGAUCAUUUUGAAAUAAGCUAUAAUAAAAUAAUUACACAU
rnacentral:lncRNA from 1 species